CUUUUUUGGUUACUACUUGAUUCCAUGUGUGUUAUUUCAUAGUUUUGAUGUAUUCACUAUUAUUCUACAAUGUAGAAAAUAGUGCAAAUAAGGAAACACCCUUGAAUGAGUAGGUGUCCAAAGUUCUGACUGGUACUAUAUAUGUAUAUAUAUUUAACUCUGCAUUGUUGGAAAAAGACAUAAGUAAGCAUUUCACUGUUAGUCUACACCUGUUAUUUACGAAGCAUGAGACAAAUAGAAUUCGAUUUGAUUUUGAUUUGGUGUGCAGUCGGUUCGGUCACCCAUUCAUACUGUAGCUUUAAGAGUUCUGCAGUAUAGAACUUGUUCAGAGAUGUUUGGAGGAGACCAUUCGAUAUAGGAUUAUGUAUCGCAUGUACAGUUUCUCGGAAUAUUUCUGUUGGAAAGUGGAUACUGGAUAGUCCUGUACAUUCAUCUGAUCACCCCAGUACAGGUCUCCCGUUUUAGAGACAGUCAAGCAGCGACGUUUGCACUACAAGCUAUGAGAGGGUGGAGAGGACAGGGCAGAUGCCGCACAAUGCGUGAGUCUGAUGAUUCUGGUGGAAUCUUGCUCCGAUAAACACAGAUUCUAUUGAAAAGAUACAGCUGGAUUACAAGAUCAUGAAUCGAAUGUCUUGGCGGGAUACAAGUGAGUGGCCGUUUUACUGAAUAGCUGAUAACUGAGCACCGCAGUGAUACAUUGUAGCCUUAGCGGGGAACCCAUUGAGGGGGAAUGGCUAAAUGAAGCUUCUUACAACCGCAACAUUGGCUAACUGUACGUAUCCUAUGGAAUGUAAACGAAUAACAAUAAAUAUACAUUAGAUAAGUGGCUCGAGUGAAAACGUUGUGAGGUGUAUUGUGAGAAAAUAACGGUCCUGUUUGUUUGUAUGACAGUCUUUUCCCGGGUGGAGUUUCCCAACGCUCAGUGCAGAAGAUAGAAAGAAGUCCAAUGAAUGUGUACGCGGGGACAUAGCACGAAAAAGGCUUAGAAGUGAUGGCAAACUGUCGAGACCCAUGGUAAGUUCGAUGUUUACACAUUUCAAAUUUAAACAUGAGGGCUGAAGUAGGCCUAUUC
rnacentral:lncRNA from 1 species